GAGGUCCCGAAAGCGAGUAGCCUCCGUAGUGACCUCUGAAUGGCUCUCCCUCAAUCGAUGAAGUUCAUCUUCCAGCUUCUUGGAUUUCUUCGUCAACUGACGAACUUUCCUUCUGAGGUCUUGAAUCAUCGACUUCAGAGGAAUCCCCUGUGGCAGGGGAAGGGCUUCGGCGGGGCACUGUCGUUGGGAGACAAGAGCGCCAUGACUCAAAUUAGUGCAAGAAGACAAAAGAGAAGGAAAAGAAUGUAGAAGAAAAAAAAGGAGGCUCUCUAUAAAGAAGAAUCUGAUUUCAUUGAUUAAAUAAUUUUUAAGUACAAGAGAAUGAAGAAAAGUCACCACAAAGAAAAAAUACAAAAUUAGAGGUUUCGGACCUCUAGGGCAGAAGUGAGGGAGCUCGACGCCCUCAGAAGGUCAGUAGCGGCGGUCGCAGC
rnacentral:lncRNA from 1 species